rnacentral:lncRNA from 1 species
GUUCGAAUGCAGUGGUGUUUACAACAAUGGAUAACAACCAGUUACAGAUAUUUUUGUUCCUUCUCCACUCCCACUGCUUCGCUUGACUAGCCUUUUAAAGAAAACAAAACAAAGAGUUUAUUUACAUGCAUACACAUGGGAGUGCUCAGUGGUAACUCAAAAGAAUAGUUAGAAUUUGGGGCUUAUACACCUAACUUAAUAGGGGAAAGGUAACAAGGAGAAAAGACUCGUAUAGGAAGAAAAAAUAAGUCUUCCUGGGCGCAGUGGCUCACGCCUGUAAUCCUAACACUCUUGGAGGCUGAGGUGGGAGGAUCACUUGAGCCCAGGAGUUAGAGACCAGCCUGGGCAACAUGGUGAGACCCCAUCUCUACAAAAAAUUUAAAAAUGAGCUGGGUAUGGACCGGGCGUGGUGACUUAUGCCUGUAAUCCCAGCAGUUUGGGAGGCUGAGGUGGGUGGAUCACCUGAGGUCAGGAGUUCGAGAUCAGCCUGGCCAACCUGGUGAAUACCUGUCUCUACUAAAAAUACAAAAAUUAACCAGGUGUGGUGGCACACACCUGUAGUCCCAGCUACUCAGGAGGCUGAGGCAGGAGAAUCACUUGAACCUGGGAGGCAGAGGAUGCAGUGAGCAGAGACUGCGCCAUUGCACUCCAGCCUGGGUGACAGAGUGAGACUCCGUCUCAAAACAAACAAACAAACAAACAAAAAAUUAGCUGGGCUUCAUGGCAGGCACCUGUAAUCCCAGCUACUCGGGAGGCUGAGGCAGGAGAAUCGCUUGAACCUGGGAGGUGGAGUUUGCAGUGAGGUGAGAUCGUGCCAUUGCACUCCAGCCUGGGCGACAGAGCGAGACUCUAUCUCAAAAAAAAAAACAGCUGGGUAUGGUGGUGUGUGCCUGUAGCCCCAGCUACUCAGGAAGCUGAGGUGGAGGAUCACUUGAUCCUGGGAGGUUGAGGCUGCAGUGAGCUAUGAUUGCACUAUUGCCCUCCAGCCUGAGCAAUAGAACAAGACCUUGUCUCUAAAAAUAGAUAGAUAAAUUUAAGUGGUAUUCCUUGAAAAAAAGCAGCUAGUUCAGCUCACAAUUCAGUAGCUCAACUGCUUUGUACUGCAUUUCCCAUUUCACCACACAGAGUACUUAAAAGAUGUGUACACAGGGAUCACGAUUUAUUAAAACAGGCCAGGUGCAGUGGCUUAUACCUGUAAUCCCAGCACUUUGGGAGGCCGAGGCGGGCAGAUCACCUGAGGUUAGGAGUUCAAGACCAGCCUGGCCAACAUAGUGAAACCGUGUCUCUACAGAAAAUACAAAAAUUAGCCAAGUGUGGUGGUGGGCGCCUGUAAUCCCAGCUACUUGGGAGACUGAGGCAGGAGAAUUGCGUGAACCUGGGAGGCAGAGGUUACCGUGAGCUGAGAUGGCGCCACUGCACUCCAGCCUGGGCAACAAAGCAAGACUCUGUCUCAAAAAUAAACAAACAAAUAAACAAAAUUAAAGAUUUAUUAAAACAUACUUUUUACUGCUUCAUGAAGGGCAAUUUUUUUUUUUUUUUGGAGACAGGGUCUCACUCUGUCACCCAGUCUGGAGUGAGGUGGCACGAUCAUGGCUCUUUCAUGUGCGUCCGUGUGAAGAGACCACCAAACAGGCUUUGUGUGAGCAACAUGGCUGUUUAUUUCACCUGGGUGCAGGCAGGCUGAGUCCGAAAAGACAGUCAGCGAAGGGAGAUAGGGGUGGGGCCAUUUUAUAGGAUUUGGGAAGGUAAUGGAAAAUUACAGUCAAAGGGGGUUGUUCUCUGGUGGGCAGGGGUGGAUCUCACAAAGUACAUUCUCAAGGGUGGGGAGAAUUACAAAGAACCUUCUUAAGGGUGGGGGAGACUACAAAGUACCUUAAGGGUGGGGGAUAUUACAAAGUACAUUGAUCAGUUAGGGUGGGGCAGGAACAAAUCACAAUGGUGGAAUGUCAUCAGUUAAGGCUGUUUUUACUUCUUUUAUGGAUCUUCAGUUACUUCAGGCCAUCUGGAUGUAUACGUGCAAGUCACAGGGGAUGCGAUGGCCUGGCCUGGGCUCAGAGGCCUGACAUUCCUGCCUUCUUAUAUUAAUAAGACAAAUAAAACAAAAUAGUGUUGAAGUGUUGGAGCGGCGAAAAUUUUUGGGGGGUGGUAUGGAGAGAGAAUGGGCGAUGUUUCUCAGGGCUGCUUCAAGUGGGAUUGGGGCGGCGUGGGAACAUAAAGUGGGAGAGAUUAAGCUGAAGGGAAGUCUUGUGGUAAGGGAUGAUAUUGUGGGGAUGUUAGAAGAAACAUUUGUCAUAUAGAAUGAUUGGUGAUGGCCUGGAUACAGUUUUGGAUGAACUGAGAAGCUAAAUGGAAGAUACAAGGUCUGAAUAAAAGGAGGAGAAAAAUGGGUAUUAAAGGACUAAGAAUUGGGAGGACCCAGGACAUCCAAUUAGAGAGUGCCCAAGGGGGUUCAGCGUAAUUACUUGCUUGGUUGGCAAGUUUUUGGGCUCUAUCCUUGAGUUUUUUUAUGUUGUCAUACACCAGGCCAGACUGAUUUAGGUAAAAACAACACUCCUCAUUUAAGAAUAUGCAGAGUCCUCCUUUUUCAGCAGUAAGUAAGUCAAGGCCUCGGCGGUUUUGGAGGACAACUGCAGCUAAAGAGUCAACUUGGGCCUGGAGGACUGAUAAAGUUUGUGAUUUUGAGGGCCUCUAAAAGUAUUAAAGCAGCAGCAGCUGCUGCACGCAGACAUGAGGGCUAGGCUAAAACAGUAAGGUCAAGUUGUUUGGACAGAAAGGCUACAGGGUGUGGUCCUGGCUCUUGUGUAAGAAUUCCGACCACGCUAACCAUGCCUAGGAAGGAAAAGAGUUGUUGUUUUGUAGAAGGUGCUGGGGUUUGAGAGAUCAGUCGGACACGAUUGGCAGGGAAAGCACGUGUGCUUUUACGAGAAUUACGCCGAGAUAGGUAACAGAUGAGGAAGAAAUCUGGGCUUGACUGAAGUAAUGGGGGCUGUCUGUGAAGCUUUGCAGCAGUACAGCCCAGGUAAUUUGCUGAGCCUAAUGGGGUGUCAGGGUCAGUCUAAGUGAAAGCAAAGAGAGGCUGGGACGAGGGGUGCAGGGGAAUAGUGAAAAAAGCAUCUUUAAGAUGGAGAACAGAAUAGUGAGUUGUGGAGGAACGUAUUGAGGACAAAAGAGUGUACGGGUUGGGCACCACAGGGUGGAUAGGCAAAACAAUUUGGUUGAUAAGACGCAGAUCCUGAACUAAUCUGUAAGACUUAUCCGGUUUUUGGACAGGUAAAAUGGGGGAAUUGUAAGAGUUUAUAGGUUUUAGAAGCCCAUGCUGUAGCAGGCGAGUGAUAACAGGCUUUAAUCCUUUUAAAGCAUGCUGUGGGAUGGGAUAUUGGCGUUGAGCGGGGUAAGGGUGAUGGAAGGAGUAGAGAUGUCCCAUACUUGUGGGUUAAGGUGGGGGGAUAUAAGAGGAAGACGCGAAGGAGGCUUUGAGUUGGGGAGAAGGUCGGCAAUGAGAUGCGGCUGUAGUCCAGGAAUAGUCAGGGAAGCAGAUAAUUUGGUUAAAAUAUCUCGGCCUAAUAAGGGAACUGGGCAGGUGGGAAUAACUAAAAAAGAGUGCAUAAAGGAGUGUUGUCCAAGUUGGCACCAGAGUGGGGGAGUUUUAAGAGGUUUAGAAGCCUGGCUGUCAAUACCCACAGUUAUGGAGGCAAGGGAAACAGGCCCUUGAAAAGAAGGUAAUGUGGAGCGGGUAGCCUCCGUAUUGAUUAAGAAGGGGACGGGCUUACCUUCCACUGUGAGAGUUACCGGAAGCUCGGCGUCCGUGAUGGUCUACGGGGCUUCCGAGGCGAUCGGGCAGCAUCAGUCUUCAGCCGCUAAGCCGAGAAGGAGUCAGUCAGAGAGCCUUGGGCCAGAGUUCCAGGGACUCUGGGAGUGGCUGCCAGGUGAGUUGAACAGUCCAAUUUCCAGUGGGGUCCCGCACAGAUGGGACACGGCUUAGGAGGAAUCCUGGGCUGCAUGCAUUCCUUGGCCUGGUGGUCAGAUUUCUGGCACUUGUAGCAAGCUCCUGGGGAAGGAGGUUCUGGAGGAACGCCUGGCCGCUGUGGUUCAGGCGUUUGGAAGUUCUUGUGUGCUGGAGAUGUGGCUGGGGUUUGUCUCACAGUGGAGGCAAGGAAUUGCAACUUUUUCUAUUAUUGUACACCUUGAAGGUGAAGUUAAUUAAAUUCUGUUGUGGGGUUUGAGGGCCGGAAUUUAAUUUUUGGAGAUUUAAUGUCGGGAGCAGAUUGGGUAAUAAAAUGUAUAUUGAGAAUAAUAUUGCCUUUUGACCUUUUAGGGUCUAGGGCUGUGAAGCAUCUCAGGGUUAUAUUUGAUGAAAAAGAGCCUAAACGCUAUCUGAUUUGGGAUAAAGAAAAAGGAGCAUUAACCUUGACUAUGCCUUUGGCUCCAGCCACCUUUUUAAGAGUAAAUUGCUGGGCAGGUGGGGGAGGGCUAGUCACGGAACGAAACUGUAAGCCCGACCAGGUGUGAGGAGGGGAGGCGAUAAAAAGAUUACAGGGUGCAGGAGCAGAGGCUGAGGAAGAAUUGGGACCUAGCUUGGGCUGGCGAGGAGGGGAGAGGUCAGAUGGGUCUGUAGAAAAGGAAGAUCAGAAAGACUCAGCGACACUUGGGGUUGGGACUGAGGGGACAGGCGGGAGGGAAAGAAGAAAGAUUUGGGACGAGUUGCACUGGGCACAGAGACUAGGAAGGGACUGAUGUGUAAAGGAAUGCCUGGACUUCAGGUACCUCAGACCAUUUGCCCAUUUUACGACAAGAAUUAUUUAGAUCUUGUAGGAUGGAAAAAUUGAAAGUGCCGUUUUCCGGCUAUUUGGAACUACUGUCGAGCUUGUAUUGGAGUCAAGCGGCAUUGCAGAAGAAAGUAAGGCAUUUAGGUUUUAGGUCAGGUGUGAGUUGAAGAGGUUUUAAGUUUUUGAGAACACAGGCUAAGGGAGAAGAAGGAGGAAUGGAAGGUGGAAGCUUACCCAUAGUGAAGGAGGCAAGCCCAGAGAAAAGAGUAGCAACACAGAGAAGGGGUGGGGGGUUCUUGCCCUCCAGAAAAGCAGAGAAGGGGUUGGGGCAUGGAAAUAAGAGGUCAGGGUGCGGAAAUAAGGGAUUGGGGCACAGAGAUAAGAGGUUGGGGUGUGGAAAUAAGUGAUUGGGGGGUUCUUGCCCCCUAGGAAAGCGGGACUUGCUGCUAAGGAUGAAGGAGAAGGGGUUGAGGGGUACUUGCCCCUGCCCCAGGAAAGCAGGACUUGCCGCUGAGGGGGAAGGGGUUGAGGGGUACUUGCCCCUGCCCCAGGAAAGCAGGACUUGCCGCUGAGGGUGAAGGGGAAGGGGUUGAGGGGUACUUGCCCCUGCCCCAGGAAAGUGGGACUUGCCGCUAAGGGUGAAGGACCAAGGCAGGCGUCCCUGCGUGGUCUGACACCCUUGAAACGUGAGUGUAUAAUCAGAGAGGCAUCCCUGCAAUGAUUAAACACCAAGGGAAGGCUGCCUUCCCAGUCCGUGACCGGCGCCAGAGUUUUGGGUUCACGGAUAAAACAUGUCUCUUUUGUCUCUACCAGAAAAUGAAAGGAAUUGAAAUUAAGAGAAGGGAGAGAUUGAAGUGUGGCUCCAAGAUUGAAAGGAGAAAGAGGUUGAGGGAUAGUGAGGGAGGUUGGAGAAGAGUAGAGGCCGCUUACCGGAUUUGAAAUUGGUGAGAUGUUUCUUGGGCUGGUCGGUCUGAGGACCUGAGGUCGUAGGUGGAUCUUUCUCAUGGAGCAAAGAGCAGGAGGACGGGGGAUUGAUCUCCCAAGGGAGGUCCCCCGAUCCGAGUCACGGCACCAAAUUUCAUGCGUGUCCCUGUGAAGAGACCACCAAACAGGCUUUGUGUGAGCAACAUGGCUGUUUAUUUCACCUGGGUGCAGGCAGGCUGAGUCCGAAAAGACAGUCAGCGAAGGGAGAUAGGGGUGGGGCCAUUUUAUAGGAUUUGGGAAGGUAAUGGAAAAUUACAGUCAAAGGGGGUUGUUCUCUGGUGGGCAGGGGUGGAUCUCACAAAGUACAUUCUCAAGGGUGGGGAGAAUUACAAAGAACCUUCUUAAGGGUGGGGGAGACUACAAAGUACCUUAAGGGUGGGGGAUAUUACAAAGUACAUUGAUCAGUUAGGGUGGGGCAGGAACAAAUCACAAUGGUGGAAUGUCAUCAGUUAAGGCUGUUUUUA